UGGUUAGUGAUUUGGGCUCUGACGGGACUUCAGCAGCAGGUACCGCUCAGCCAAAAUCUGAGCAGGGAAGCAGCACUUUGGAGACAGAGUGUAUCUGAGAGGCUGUUCAGGCACCCUCCAGAGCAGGCCUGCCUCCCCUCCCAGGUAAUUUUAGCGCCUAUGGCACCACACCCCACUUGGAAGGCGAGGAUGUCAAACAGGUUGGCUUUCCCUCAGGGGAGCGGGUGGAGUAAGCGCGCGCUGGCUCCCUUCUCACUGGCUCCCCUGCUCUCCGCCUUCGCCGCCUGGGCGAUAAAUACGUUUCUUAGUGGGCAGGUGGCACCUACGGUGCUGCGCGUGGCUUUGCCAUAGUGGGGCCGUCUGCUUCUGUUACCUGUCCUGCACCAGACUCGGUUUUUGGGGACGUCUCUCUGUUCCACAGUGCUUGAGUGGGAUGGUGAGUGACCUAGUUGGACAGAGCCCCUGAUUAAAAGCGUCCCCUCAAAGCUUUGCACUGCCAACGUCUAUCGUCAUUGCCUGGAAAAAAAUCGGUGCAAUCAGAGCGCUGCAUAGACGACCAUGGGGAAAUUCAGAAGAAUCCUUCUCUUGUGCCUUGGCUUUCUUCUAGUCCACGUAAGAGGUCAACGUGACUUUGACUUAGCUGAUGCUCUUGAUCACCCGGAUGACAUAAUUACCAGGAAGCCAACAGUGAUCAGAAGACCAACACGGCCUCUGCUGAACAAUGAUCUGCAUUUAGGAGAUGCUUUUGGUGGAGGUGACAUCCCAAGACAACCUUUAUACCCACCUCUUCCACCACGACCAGGAAGCCACAGUAAUUCUGGUAAGAAUAAUUUCUCCUAAGAAAAUCUACCACUGAGCUGUUUGGAGCAGAUAUGUUGAAUAGUUUACUUUCUUAUUCUUUCUUUAUACAUAAUUUUUAUCAUCCCUUACAUCUAUUUUCCUUUUUUAUCACUGCUCCUGACCCAGUGUUUGGAAAGACUUUCUGAGCUUUUGUGAUGGCACCAUAAAGCUUUUCUGCCUACCCCAAAUGUAGGAUGUUGACUCCUAAGUGGCAGGAGACUAAUACUUCUCUUGUUUGUCCUUUCAUUAUGAAUAUGUACACACUGAACCAUGCUAAGGUUCAACUGACAUCUAUCGACAUGGAGUGCAUAACCCUAUGUACAAAUCCAUGCUGAAAUAUGGAUGUGAGAUGGCUCUGGGGCAUACAACAGGUGGGACUGGGGAGAUGGAUUUAACCCUAUAUUGCUUUGAAUGUAGUCCCAGACACUCUCUAAAUACAGUGGAAGUGGUACAUCAAUCCUAGCUACUACCAUGUACCCCAUAUUUACUUCUGGUAUGAUUGUGGUGGUGAGCUGUGGACGUGCCCUUCCCGAGUCUUGCCUAGAAGGGACCCACUGACUUCCCGCUGCAGGAGCUGCUGGGAUUUGAGUCCAAACUCUGGGUUCCUAAAUACAGCACUUAUUUACAAACGUGCAAGUCUUCAUGCUCAGAACGGGUAGCCAAAAACAGUUUUCAUUAUCCAGCUUCUGGGUGAAUGUGAACAGGUGACUAUUUGUGCAAGGCACCUGGCCCACUGCCAUGUAGCGGGUGGGAUUUCAAAGGUCCCUCACCUUUCCCUAGAACAGUAGAAAAGAGCUGAAGGGGUUACCACUGUUCCGAUAUUUUUCCAACAGAAAUCCUAAUUUUUGUCUUGCAGGAGGUUUUAAUGACUUAGAUCUCGUCGACGGGAAGCCCUUACCACCGCACAUAGCAGGUAGUAUUUAUUUGCCAAUUCUCCUUGCAGUUUUUUCCUAAUAUUUACAAUUAAGAGCUGGAUGGUUUUGCUUUAGCAGGAAUCUGU
ensembl:lncRNA